rnacentral:rRNA from 1 species
CUGGUUGAUCCUGCCAGACCCGACUGCUAUCGGAUUGGGACUAAGCCAUGCGAGUCAACUCCGCAAGGGGUGGCGCACGGCUCAGUAACACGUAGUCAACCUACCCUGGGGACGGGGAUAACCUCGGGAAACUGAGGCUAAACCCCGAUGGGCCAUGGCUCCUGGAAUGGGCUAUGGCUGAAAUCUACAUGGCCCCAGGAUGGGACUGCGGCCGAUCAGGUUGUUGGUGGGGUAAUGGCCCACCAAGCCUAUAACCGGUGCGGGCUCUGAGAGGAGGAGCCCGGAGAUGGGCACUGAGACAAGGGCCCAGGUCCUAUGGGGCGCAGCAGGCGCGAAACCUCCGCAAUGGGCGAAAGCCCGACGGGGUCAGUCCGAGUGGUUCCCGCUGAGGGAACCUUUUGCCAGCUGUAAACAGGCUGGCGAAUAAGGGGUGGGCAAGUUUGGUGUCAGCCGCCGCGGUAAUACCAGCACCCCGAGUGGUCGGGAUGAUUAUUGGGCCUAAAGCAUCCGUAGCCGGCCCAGUAAGUCCUCCGUUAAAUCCAACGGCUCAACCGUUGGGCUGCGGGGGAUACUGCUGGGCUAGGGGACGGGAGAGGCGAGGGGUAUUCCCGGGGUAGGGGUAAAAUCCACUGAUCCCGGGAGGACCACCAGUGGCGAAGGCGCCUCGCCAGAACGUGCCCGACGGUGAGGGAUGAAAGCUGGGGGAGCGAACCGGAUUAGAUACCCGGGUAGUCCCAGCCGUAAACGAUGUAGGCUCGGUGUUGGGCUGCCUCAGUGGCAGCCCAGUGCCGCAGGGAAGCCGUUAAGCCUACCGCCUGGGGAGUACGGCCGCAAGGCUGAAACUUAAAGGAAUUGGCGGGGGAGCACCAC